GAUGAACGCUAGCGGCAGGCCUAAUACAUGCAAGUCGGACGGGAUUCAGGAGCUUGCUUCUGAUGAGAGUGGCGCACGGGUGCGUAACACGUAUGUAACCUACCUUUAUCAGGGGGAUAGCCUCUCGAAAGAGAGAUUAAGCCCGCAUAAAAUCACAGCACAGCAUUGUGUAAUGAUCAAAUAUUUAUAGGAUAAAGAUGGGCAUGCGGAACAUUAGCUAGAUGGCGGGGUAACGGCCCACCAUGGCGACGAUGUUUAGGGGAUCUGAGAGGAUGGCCCCCCACACUGGUACUGAGACACGGACCAGACGCCUACGGGAGGCAGCAGUAAGGAAGACUGGUCAAGGGGCGGAAGCCUGAACCAGCCAUGCCGCGUGCAGGAAGACGGCCCUACGGGUUGUAAACUGCUUUUAUACGAGAAUAAACCCAGAUACGUGUAUCUGGCUGAAUGUACUGUAAGAAUAAGGAUCGGCUAACUCCGUG
rnacentral:rRNA from 1 species